rnacentral:rRNA from 1 species
GUCUACAGCCAUACCACCCUGAACGUGUCUGAUCUCAUAAGCUAAGCAGGGUCGGGCCUGCUGAGUACUUGGAUGGGAGAAAUGAUCUCACAGGUAAAAAAAAAAAGAAAUGAUGACU